rnacentral:rRNA from 1 species
UGAGGAAUAUUGGGCAAUGCCCGCAAGGGUGACCCAGCAACGCCGCGUGGAGGAUGAAUGUCGUAAGAUUGUAAACUCCUGUUAGAGGGGAAGAAUAGUACCGGUUGGACCGGUAUAUGACUGUACCCUCAGAGAAAGCCCCGGCUAACUACGUGCCAGCAGCCGCGGUAAUACGUAGGGGGCAAGCGUUGUCCGGAUUUACUGGGUGUAAAGGGCGCGCAGGCGGGAUAAAAAGUCAGUGGUGAAAUCCUACAGCUUAACUGUAGAACUGCCUUUGAUACUUUUAUUCUUGAGUUCGGGAGAGAGAGACGGAAUUCCAGGUGUAGGGGUGAAAUACGUAGAUAUCUGGAAGAACACCAGUUGCGAAGGCGGUCUCUUGGUCCGACACUGACGCUGAGGCGCGAAAGCGUGGGGAGCAAACA